GCUCCGGUAGUAUAGCCCGGUCAAGUAUGACGGCCUCUCGAGCCGCCGACGCGGGUUCAAAUCCCGCCCGGAGCA
rnacentral:tRNA from 1 species